AUUGAAAACUCAAUUUUCGCAUGUGGAUACUUGUUUUCCAUAGCACGUUUAGUGAGUCAGUCUUCACUUCUUGGUUGUAGGAAAAAUCUUACCUUGUUGUCAGUGUUGCAAGCCCUUGCUUGUAGAAGGAUCAGCAGUAGAUUGGAAAAGAAAAAAAUAUCUAUCCUUUACUUUUUACAAGUGCUGGAGAACUAUCCAUAUGUGGCAAGAGAUGCUCUUUGGACUCCACCUUCUCAUCGCAAUGAUGAAAAUCUGAUUUGCAUGAUAUUGUACUCUCUACAUUGAAUUCAAGGAACAGUAAAGGUACUUUAUUUUCUUUACUUAUGGAAUUAUGUAAUAUGUAGAUUCAAACCAUGAUGAAUUGGUAACUGACAUAUGUUUGAAGGCUGUUGUAAGUGGGACAUAUUUUGAAUUAAUUGUUGUAGCUUGGAAAAAAAUAAUGUUUUUA
rnacentral:lncRNA from 1 species